GAUGAACGCUAGCGGCAGGCUUAAUACAUGCAAGUCGAGGGGCAGCAUGAUUGUAGCAAUACAAUUGAUGGCGACCGGCAAACGGGUGCGGAACACGUACACAACCUUCCAACAAGUGGGGGAUAGCCCAGAGAAAUUUGGAUUAAUACCCCGUAACAUAGCGAUGUGGCAUCACAUUGCUAUUAUAGAUUUUUCGCUUGUUGAUGGGUGUGCGGCUGAUUAGAUAGUUGGCGGGGUAACGGCCCACCAAGUCUACGAUCAGUAGCUGAUGUGAGAGCAUGAUCAGCCACACGGGAACUGGGACACGGGCCCGACUCCUACGGGAGGCAGCAGUAAGGAAUAUUGGACAAUGGACGCAAGUCUGAUCCGGCCAUGCCGCGUGAAGGAUUAAGGUCCUCUGGAUUGUAAACUUCUUUUAUAAGGGACGAAAAAAGGCUUUUCUAAGUCGUCUGACGGUACCUUAUGAAUAAGCACCGGCUAACUCCGUGCCAGCCGCCGCCGUAACAC
rnacentral:rRNA from 1 species